rnacentral:rRNA from 1 species
GGGAAUCUUGCACAAUGGGGGCAACCCUGAUGCAGCGACGCCGCGUGAGCGAUGAAGCGCUUCGGGGCGUAAAGCUCUUUCGACCGGAACGAUAAUGACGGUACCGGGAGAAGAAGCUGCGGCUAACUACGUGCCAGCAGCCGCGGUAAUACGUAGGCAGCAAGCGUUGUUCGGAGUUACUGGGCGUAAAGAGUGCGUAGGCGGUUUUCUAAGUUCGGUGUGAAAUCUCCCGGCUUAACUGGGAGGGUGCGCCGAAGACUGGGAAGCUGGAGUGUGGGAAAGGCAGGCGGAAUUCCUGGUGUAGCGGUGAAAUGCGUAGACAUCAGGAGGAACACCGGCGGUGUAGACGGCUUGCUAGACCAUAACUGACGCUGAGGCACGAAAGCGUGGGUAGCAAACA